rnacentral:rRNA from 1 species
UACGAAGGGGGCUAGCGUUGCUCGGAAUGACUGGGCGUAAAGGGCGCGUAGGUGGAUUUUACAGUCAGGCGUGAAAUUCCUGGGCUUAACCUGGGGGCUGCGUUUGAUACGUAAGGUCUUGAGUGCGGAAGAGGGUCGUGGAAUUCCCAGUGUAGAGGUGAAAUUCGUAGAUAUUGGGAAGAACACCGGUGGCGAAGGCGGCGACCUGGUCCGUGACUGACGCUGAGGCGCGAAAGCGUGGGGAGCAAACAGG